UACAGAGGGGGCAAGCGUUAUUCGGAAUUAUUGGGCGAAAAGGGCGCGUAGGCGGCCUGGCAAGUGGAAGGUGAAAUCCCUCGGCUUAACCGAGGAACUGCCCUCCAAACUGCUUGGCUUGAGUCCGGGAGAGGUGAGUGGAAUUCCCAGUGUAGCGGUGAAAUGCGUAGAUAUUGGGAGGAACACCAGUGGCGAAGGCGGCUCACUGGACCGGAACUGACGCUGAGGCGCGAAAGCGUGGGGAGCAAACGGG
rnacentral:rRNA from 1 species